AGUAGCCACUGGGGGAGUCUUUAUGAUUGGACUGAGACGCAUGUUGCGAACCCUUUGAACCUGAUCUGGUCAUACCAGCGUAGGAAAGUGGGCCGCAGAGUAA
rnacentral:ncRNA from 2 species